AUGAAUAAGACAUUUCUUUGUGUUUUUGGUGCAUUGCGUUUUAGUGUUUUCUGGCCAUUGCGUUUUAAAAAUAAGACAUUUGUUUGUGUUUUUAGUGCAUUGCGUUUUAGGUAAAACACAUUUUUAUGUGUUUUCAGUCCAUUGCGUUUUAGAAACUACACUUUCUUUUGAGUUUUUAGGCUAUUGCGUUUUAGAAAUAACACAUUUCUUUGUGUUUUCUGGCCAUUGCGUUUUACAAAUAAGACAUUUAUUUGUGUUUUUUGUGCAUUGCGUUUUAGAAAAAUGUCAUUUUUUAGGU
rnacentral:lncRNA from 1 species